UCUUUCCCUCCUCCUCCUCCACCUCCUCCUCCUCCUCCACCUCCUCCUCCACCUCCUCUCCUCUUCCUCCUCCUCCUCCUCCUCCUCCUCCUCCCAGAUCUCGAUGGCGGACUCGCGCAGGGGGAGAGAUCACUCACGAGUUGGCUACCUAUAGCUGGUGACAGUGUUUUGCUACUGCUGAGGAAUCCAUAACAAGUCUUUGGCCCAGUAAUCCAUUGCUGAACUUCAUUAACCACAGGAAGACAUUAAGUGAAGGUAGACGUGACAACUCUACUGAUUCGUGGGUCACCUGGAAGAGAAAUCCAAUAAUAAGAAGAACCUUAAUUGUUGCUGUCACAUAUCGAACACAUACAAGGUGCCAGACGCUGUGCUAAAUGCCUGACAUGCAAAAUCUAUCAAAUCUAAUUCUUACCACCACCUGAUGAAGCCUGAGUUCUAUCAACUUGAUACAGGAAGAAACCCAGAUCGGAGUUUGUCCAUGAUUUUCAAACUUGAGUGCCUCUGGGCAACUUGUCAGAACCUACGUCACUGGGUCCCCUCCAGAGCCUCAGGCUCAGCCGGUCUGGCCUAGACCCCAAGAUUUUCAAGUCAGUAAGUUCCUCGCUGCUGCUGCCAAGGCUGCUCUGAGGACUGUGUUGGUGAGACCCUGAUUUCAGGACUUGUUCACAUUAACCUGGAGUUAAACGGCAGGGUAAGAUUUCAAAAUUAAAAAUUUGAGUACACUUAAAAGUACUCUUAACAACCAUCUAUAUUUCUUCAAAUUUCCUAAAACGAACUUUGGAAUUGCCAAUCAUUGCGUUGGCAAAGCGCCUUGGUUCCGGUGCUCCUGCUCCGUGAAUUUCUUUGUGGCAUGGAAUAGUUUGUGAUUCCCUCUUAGGGAAGGAUUUCAGGGCCAUUUUUAGAAGAAGCAUCAGGUUCUUAAAUCAUCACCACCAGCCACUCUUGAGAUUGUCAGCAGUCCUACAGGCACAGAGCAGAAUGCACAUGGGGAGACCCACCCCAGCUGGAAGAGUCAUUAGCAGUUCCAAGAUGGAGCCCAGCAGAGCAAACCACACCUGGAUACCAUCUGUGCCUGAGAGCCGUGGCAUGGCCUUGGUUCCCAUCUGGCUGGAAGGGCUCCCAACACACAGCCCGCUUGGACAUCAGAGGGCUCUGGGGGCCUCUCCUGAAUGCUGCUAAGGUGAGCCACUUGCAAACAGUCAGACCAGGGGACUGUUGGCCCAAGCUGGAAUAAGAACUGGGAUGAGACCUGGCCCACAUUGGAGGGUCUGGGACUAUCGACAGGACUCCAGAAGCACCAGUGGGAGGUAUGAGUGGAGACAAAGGAUGCAAGGAUAGAGCCGAAAUAAAGCCCCAAGUCCCUCAGUGGGUAAAAUAAUUCAUCACGGGCGUCUUCCCUAUUCAGCCGGGAAUGAAAAUUGAAACCUGAAUUCAAAUCCACGGGCAGUAUAUAUUUCAAGAAAUGUGGACACCCAGAGACUUGAAGGAAACAGCUAAGCUGGGGAAAACACAUGGUACCACUGAGGAGAGGCUGGCUGGUGGCAGAUUGGGAAUCCCUGCAGCCAGGAUGCAAGAUGGAGCAGGAGUGUGCAUACAGGAUUUGCUCCCGGAGCCUGAGACCCCAGUGCUCUCUGUAGAGUAGAUCAGCUCUUUUUUGAAGACCCUUCCUCUUCUACAUAUGUGCUAUUUAUGCAUAUAUCUACACACUCAUUCAUUCAUUUGGCAAACAUGUACCGAGUGCAUAUUAUGGGCCAAGUAUUAAUACAGACACCGAGGGUAAAACCACAAACCCCAGUCUCUACUUUCACGGAGCGUACUCUCUCAUGGGAAUCGUGAGGCAAUGUGCAGAAUCAGUAAGGUAGAAUAUCAGGAUACAGAAAGUCACAAGGAGAAAAAUGGAGGGAGGAGCAGAUUUGGGUUGACGGGUAAAGUGGUUGAAAAACAGCCCAUCACCAUCCCCAACUAUAUAGCACUUACCACCAACAAUGAGUACCCAUUUGUUGCAAAGGAGAGACAUUGAGUCAAAUAAGUUUCAGGACAAAAUGUAAAACUCUGGCAGGACAUAACCCAGAUGAGCCCAGGAGUUGCUAGUUAAGUGGGAGCUCUUCUUUCCCUUCCAGAAUUCAGUCCGUCCAUUCUUUCAGAUACAGCUCAGAUUUUCACUGGGGGAUAUAAUUCUUCCCCCUUUAAUUUCUGUGACUUUGGGGAAGUUGACUCCUCCCGCAAGUCCAGGGCCUAAGCCAAUCAGCAUACUCCCUUCCCCCACUGACCUCAGGGAUUAGUUCUAGAGUAGGGGAGGGUCCCAUAAAGCUGAAUCUCAGAAACCCUGCUUGAGCUCCCUCAAUUACUGAAUCUGGAGGGGAAAAUUGUUACUCGCAUUUAUCUUAUAAAAUGAGGGGGUCUGCCUUAUAAAUGAAGUAAAGAGAGAAGAAGAUAGAUAGAUAGAUAGAUAGAUAGAUAGAUAGAUAGAUAGAUAGAUAAUAGAUGGAUGGAUGGAUGGAUGGUGUUUGGAUGACAUCAUUAGUUCUCUGGCUAAACACCCAGAGUAAAUCUGCCCCAUGUCUAGUUAAUUGAGUUAAAACCAUUCUCUUUACAGCUUAGGGCCAUUGGGUUGGGUUUUCUGUAGUUUUAAAUAGAAAGAUAAAAUAUCUAGCUCAGGCUCAGGACAGCCCUGCAGUGUUCCCUCUGUGUGGAUUUCACUGUCAGCCUGGCUUCUCCACAGUGACCACCAGCGACCUGGUUCUUGACAGUACCUGCCAGGAUUCUGUGCUCCUCUUGGUUGCAUUCUGUGGUCUGCACCCUCCUUUGAACCAGGCAGCAAUGCCAGGGAUUGGGUACCAUGGAUCUGUGACGGGGACUCUCUUUCAGGGCCUGGGCUGCUACCGGCCUCAUUCAGAUCACAUUGAGAGUUGGCUCCUCAAAUUAGGGCAUUGUUACUAGAAAAGUGGGGCAUGCUGAGGGGACAACCAGAAAUCUUAAAAAUUCACUUAAGUGUCCAGUUUUCUCCUUCGUCAUCUCACAUUUCCCAACUGCAGAAUGAAAAAGUUGGGAGAGAGUGGUGACUCCCAAGAGAUCCGCCAUGAAGGACCCUUCUCUUGCCUUUCUCUGUCGCCCAGUUUGGCACCAAAGUAAACCAAGUUUGGAAGACUUUGUCUGUAAUUCCUGCCUUCACCCAUCAGUCACCCACCCACCAUUGCUGUGGAAUGUCCACUAGUCUCCAGUUUUGCUCCAGCCCUAGGGCAAGAGUGGUCCCAGAAGCCGGGAGGACGGUGCUCACGCUAUUCAGUGACGUACAAUAGGGGAGCUGAGCCUGCUUGUGGUUUUCUGUCUGGGAUUAAAAGCAGAACUUUAGUAGAGAGACCUUCAGGCUCCUGGCCCUUCUAUUCUCUUGGAGUAUCCACAGGGGGGUGGGAUACUGGGAGCUGGGGGUGGGAAACUGGGAGCCAGAGAGCAACAGAUUCACAGCUGUCAAGCAACAAGAGGAGAAAGAAUCAGCAAGCUGAGCUGGUGGGAUGGGAAGGACAGUCCAGGUCUGGGGCCGCGAAGGUUUGCACAGUCAGGGCCUCCUGCCGAGCCUGUGCUCAUUUCAUCCAGGUUUUGUCAAGUGAGAGGACCCAGAUCUUCAUUGUUUAAGUCACAGUCAGAAGUGCCGUUAUGUGUGGUCAAAAGCAUUGUUGAUCAAUCCAGUCAGAUCCAAUAGAGGUCCCCACGCAGCUUACAGUCUGCAGAUGACCAGCUAAUAGAUAAUUACAUGUGUCACAAGUAUCUUGGGGAGGAACCACAGGAACUUAUAUCAGGGGGACCUAGUUUGAAGAAACUGCAUUGAAUGAAUAAUGACAUUUUUAAAAUCACUUUAGAGAAUUAGGUAAGGGGUAGGUAGAAUAUUUCUCACUGGACCACAUAGGAAGUAUUUUCCCUUCCCAGGCUGUGCUGGCCUCUGUUGCGGCUCCUCAGCUUUGCUGAUGGGGUGCAAAGGAAGCCACAGACAAUAUGGAAAAGACGGACAUGACUGCAUUCCAAUAAAACUUUAUUCACAAAAGCAGCCUGCUGAUCGCUGGCCCGCGCUUGCUGAUUCCUGAAUCAGACACAUCACAUAGCUGCAAUAGAGAGCAGCCACCAAGGACACUUUGCAGUACGCUUACUGAACCAGAAGAACCUCUCUGGAUUGGACUCUGCAGAUUCCCCAGUGCCAGCAGCUCACCUAUGAGACGCGGAGAUCCCUCCAUCGUGCCUGCCUGGCUCCUUCAGAAGUGGACUGAGGGUGGUCAGCUGGGCAGCUGCCCGGGAUCCCCAACCAUGGUGAACUUAGACCCCCCGAGGGGGGAAGUUGGGAAAAUAUAGAAGGCCCCUUCUCCGAUGGAGACAUUUCCUGCUGUCUUGGAGCAGGCCAAGAUAGGAACACAUAACAUUUAUUAGCCCCGGAAUGUUUUUGCUGGAAUUUUUGUGACCAACAUACACACAUUUGUAGUCGGCUCGGAGCUGGCAGUUGCGGUGAGGGGGUUUCCAGGACCUCGUCAUGUGGUGAGCUGAGAUUUACAAGGGGCGCGAUUUAUAUUGUGAAUUAUAAACCUUUAACAUACCUCCCAAGAAGUCGCUCGGUUCAUAAAAAGUCACAAAAGAACUACAAAGAAGAGUCCAACUGCAGAGAAGUUGGAAAUAUUUUAUCCUCCUUUUUUUUUUUUUGGACUAUUGACUCUCUGUCAACCAAUGGAAGUAAAUUGUAAAAUUACAAUUAGUCUUGAUUCUGCAAAAAAAAAAAACUUAAGAAGAACGUCCGAUUCCCUCCACUCCCGCUAACUAGGUGUUGGGCAAACAUUUGAAAGGCAGCGGAUGGAAGGUCUCCAGACUCUUGGUCUAGGUGGCUCUCAUGAAGACCCAUGAAAACAACUGCAGGUUGGGUCCAGGAAGGGACCACAAAUGGAAUGUGCUGGAUAAUAGGCCGCAGGGCAUGGUGGAGACGGGGCAGCUGAGAGCCGGUGCCCUGCCCGGCCCAUCGUCCCCCCUGCCCAGCUGGUUGUGCCCUGCCUCUCUCUCAGCACACAGGCAAGUGCACCCCAGCCCCCUCUCCUGACCAGAAACACACACUCCUCCCCCAAGUAACAUCAGGAGAUGCAGGACAGGGAUCUGAACCAAUAGGUGGCUGCAUUCUGCCUUCCCCUGGCGAGAGGAGGAGUCGCAGAAGGCAGCGGGGCUUUCCACACCUUCCUGGGUGGAUCCAACAGUACCUCUGUUUAGGGAGGAGAGAGAAGAGGGGAGUCAUGCACACAUUUGUUUGGUAAAGCUUAUAUACUCCUGUCCUCCAGGCGGUUCUAGUUCCCCAGAAUGCCCCUCCUCUGGGGUAGGUAAUGUGGCUGGAAGGGGACACCCUAAGCUAUUUCAGGGUUUCAAAUUCCCGUUUCACCAGUGGUAAUGAACUGUGUGUGUCCUUCCCUGAGACACAAGGUUUUGCCUCUGACCAAAAUGUCACAAAAAGAAAGUUUACACCCUCCAGACAACGUGUGUCGAGUAAACAACAUGGAAUGAACUUCCGUGGAAACACCACCCCACGAAGAAACACCGGAAUCUAAUGUUAGUCGAGAUACAGCGCGUUGAUAUCUUUUGCUGACGAGAGACAAAGCUGAUAGAAGGGAGGAUAAGGUAAGGAUCAGACUCGAGGCUUUCUGAAAGCCAGGACUUCAGGAGAACUCCAGAAGAAAAACAUACCACGUGGCCUCAUGUUAGGGAAAUGUAGCAGUUGGUUUAGAAAAUGCCUCCAGUGUGGUGAUGAAUCAGGCAAAUUGGGGGACUCAGUAAUUGAACAAAACCCAGAGUCAUUGGGUAGAAUGGACUCCAGUUGUUCAUGCAGCCUGACGUCCAUUCGUCUUCCCCUUUCAGAUUAUACCAUUUGGAGUUUGCUUUGGGGCAGUUGAUUCUCUCCCGUGCUCAGCCACGCCAUUCCCGUGGUAUUGACCCUUGUCUCUCCUCUUAGGAUUGGAGAGGGCCAAUAAUCCCACCUCACCCAUUUCUCUCAACCACGACUGGACAUGUGAUGGGCAGAAAAUUAGAUAGAACCAGCAAGAGCUGUAGUUUCUAGAGCUUCUGGGCAUGGGGGGAAGGGAAGAUUCUUUCCUCCUUGAUACCACUCCGGGGGAGCCAUUUUUUCUUGGUCUGUUUGAACUACAAUAUGAAGACUGGAGUAGUGUCCUUCCUACUAAAAUAAAAGGCCCUGGAAUUGCCAGUGGAAACCCACUCAAGGCCUGAAGAAGAAGCUGAUGCUGUGGAAAGUACAGAGGAAAAAGUGAAGAGAAACAAAGCUGGUCUUCGAUGACACUAGAUCAAGCUGUACCUGAAGCAGUCCUGCCCACCACCUUUUCAGUGAUGCAAGUCUACACAUUCCAGGAUUCCUCAAGACACUUUGAAUUGGAAUUCUAUCAUUUUCAGUGGAAGGAUUUGUGACUUCUCCUUUGCUUUCAUCAGAUUAACACUGAUGGAUGAAUGCCCUUUCAACAAGUUAUGGUGGGAAAAUGGGACCGUGCAGUGGGUUUCUACUUUAUUAUUAGUUUUUGCUACACUGUUCUCAAUUGGAAUAAAUGCUCUCUUAAAUAAUCCCA